rnacentral:misc_RNA from 1 species
UUUCCGUAGGUGAACCUGCGGAAGGAUCAUUAAAGAGUAAGGGUCUUCGGGCCCGAUCUCCAACCCUUUGUUUAACUACCAUGUUGCUUUGGCGGGCCCGUCUCACGACCGACGGAAGUUUGGCUUCGACCAAACUUCUGCCCGUGCCCGUCAGUGGCCCCUUCAAAUUCUUGAUCAAGUAUGAUGUCUUAGUUAAAAACUUAAUAGUUAAAACUUUCAACAACGGAUCUCUUGGUUCUGGCACCGAUGAAGAACGCAGC